rnacentral:rRNA from 1 species
UACAGAGGGUGCAAGCGUUAAUCGGAAUUACUGGGCGUAAAGCGCGCGUAGGUGGCAAUGUAAGUUUGAUGUGAAAGCUCAGGGCUUAACCCUGAAAUGGCAUUGAAUACUACAUGGCUGGAGGUUUGGAGGGGGGACUGGAAUUCUUGGUGUAGCAGUGAAAUGCGUAGAUAUCAAGAGGAACACCAGUGGCGAAGGCGAGUCCCUGGACAACACCUGACACUGAGGCACGAAAGCUAGGGGAGCAAACAGG